GUUUUUGUUGAUUUAUAACUUUAUUUAGUGCAUUGAUAGCACUGUUGGAACCCUACAAUAAAGUAAUAACAAAAAUGAACAUACAGGUUAUUUUAGUAUUCAAAUGAAGAAAAAGCAUCAACUAUCAAACCUUUUUCAAGUGAAUUCAUAUUCAAUUCUAUUUAACAAAAUCACAUAAGAUGUUUAGUUCUACACACCAAGUGCUACAAGUUUGUGAUAUGCAAACAAAGAAGUGGUGGAAUCAACUUAAUGAAAGUGGUCCAAUGAGCUAACAAGGUUUACAAAGUCAUAACCAUCCUAGAUCUCAUUUUAACCUAAGCUUUCUCUCAUGGUACAGGUCAAUAUUGAGAGAAACAACACUCCAUGUAUGUUUUUACACAGUAAAUAUUUGGAAUAGAAUGUAUGCUUAAAUGAAUGUUACAGUCAUGAUGACAAUGACCAGAAAAUACAAAUACUACAUAAUUUAAUCACAAUGAUUGUAACAAAAAUGUUUAGACUUCAAUUUAAAAAUUUGUUGUAAUAAUUAAAACAGUUUACAUACAGUUGACUCUAGAUAGUUCAAGAUCCAACAUACUCAGUAACCUGACAUGGCAUGGACGUAGAUUCAUGUAAUAACCGUAAUUUAUUAACUUGUACUUUAGCACAGUUUUUGAAAGCUAAAAUCAUGUUUUUUAUUUUUAAAAGUAAAGUUCCCCCUUUCUGACUUUGCAAUAUAUGAGGCAGAUGAUAUAAAGGUCCUGUUUCUGAGGCCCACAGUUGUAAGAUAAAUAACUUUUUUUAUUUUAUAACCUUCAAAGUUAAAAGAAUAUUUGAUUACAAUUACAAUUUUAUAGACAUAUACAGGUAAAUUCUGUGAAGUACAGCCAACCUUUCGUAAUCUGAUAUUUUUUGGCAAUCUGACACCCGACCAGCCCUGUAAUGUUCAGACUAUCAAGAGUUAACUAUGGUAGAAAAUUGUAUUAUCUGUUAUAGACAUCCAAGAAACAAAGCAUACUAAGCAUUGGUCUAUAAGAGUUUUUUUUUUAAUUACAAAAUCCUUAUUGUGAACAAACUUGGGACUGCUGCAUGACUGCGAUUUAGUUCAAAUUUGUCAUUUAUUUCAAUUUUGUAUUUUUAUUGUGCAUUUUGUUUUUAAACAAUCCUUAUGAGAACUUAGUGGCGAUAUUUGCUUUUUUUUUGGUCCUUUAUUUAAAAGUUUUUGCUUUUUCUCAUGAACAUUGUAAUGAAAAAUUUAUGGUAACAUAUAACAAAUGCUUUGAUAUAGUUAGAAAAAAAACAAGAUGAACAUUAAAUAAAAAAUUAUUGUCACUCACAGCCAUUGAGAAAAAAGUUCCGCUUUUAUCCAUUACUAUUAACAGGGAAAAAAAAAUUUUUAUUAGGAAAAAAAAAUGGAAUUACCGACUGAAAAAGUUUGAAACAAACCAUAAGAAAAAUGAAAAUGCAAAUAAAAUGCCAAAGCAACAAAAAUCUUAUAAUCUCAAACAAUAAUAAUUUUGUUUACAAAUCCAAAUCUAAACAAGCCAAU